GAGACUAUCUGGUCGAUAGGCCGCGGAUGCAAGCGCAGCAAUGCGUUCAGUCCAGCGGUACUAAUCAUCCGAACGGCUUGACCAU
rnacentral:rRNA from 1 species